AUUCUUACCUGGCAGGGGAGAUACUGUAAUCAUGAAGAUGGUUUUCCCAUGGCAAGACUUAUUCAUCUCACUCUGCAUGUUCAAGCCCCGGCAACCUCUCCAAAUGUGGGAUAUUCAACUGCAUAAGUUGUGGUUGUGGAGGACUGCAUUUUCACUUUCCCCUG
ensembl:snRNA U1 U1 spliceosomal RNA